rnacentral:rRNA from 1 species
AUGCCUGAUCUAGUGCCUUUGCUUAGGGACUUGUGGGUCCCAAGAGAUCAUGUGAUACCAGGAGAAAUGGUGCAACCAAUUAUUCAGGCAAACAAUUUUGAACUGAAGCCAGCUCUGAUUAACAUGGUACAACAGUCCAGAUUUUGUGGAACAACUUUAGAAGACCCACAUGAGCAUAUAAGGACUUUCUUGGAGUAUUGUAACACCCUCAAGCAAAAUGGAGUUUCACCGAGUGCUAUCAGAUUGUCACUAUUUCCAUUUUCCUUGAGAGAUGGAGCAAGAGUAUGGCUUCACUCAUUGCCUGAACAUCUAAAGAAUACUUGGGAGACUUUAUUGCAGACAUUCUUGAGAGAUACUUUCCACCAACAAAAGCUGCUGAAUACAUGGACAAGUUAA